rnacentral:lncRNA from 1 species
UCUUUUUCUAGAAUUAGAAAAUAUAAUUAAUAUGAAUAUUGUCAAAUAGCUCUAAUUGCUUUUGUGUAACUCAUUGAAAUGGAAAUUUUAGAAUUUUUUGAAAAUCAUUAUUACACCCUCAGUUUCUAACUGUCUUUAGUUUCUCACUUCCUUAGCUAGAAAAAUGAAUAUUAUACUCAUGACCACAGAUACUGUUGAAGGUACAUAGAUUAGGACCUGUGUGCAGAUAGCAGUUUAUUUGAAAAUGGGCUGAACUACCGUUUAUCUAGCAGACUUGCCUCACUAUAGAAAAAAAAAAAUCUGAUUUAAAUACUGCUUUUAUUGAGUUUGAAGUUAACAGUUGUUUUUAAAACAUUUUAAUGAAAAUAAUUGACAUGUUUAAUAAUUAGGUGAGUUGAUCUCACCUUUUAAUCAAAAGAUGAGCUGUUUCCCCCAUUACGCCUAACGUGUAGUACUCCAUCCUCCAAAUAGUUGUUUGGAUUAUUCUAAAGCAUUGGAGAUGAACUUUCUAAAAAAUCAUCUACUGCAGCAAAAUAAAUCUUUCCUCUUCAGAGCUUUACCCUCGUAGCAGAAAAGGAUGUAGCCUGCCUUAAGAUGUAUUCCAUAAGCACAGAUGCUGAUUUUUAUGAGCUAUUUGUAGCUUGGGCUUUAGAGGUUCCAAGAGUAGGUGCAGCAUGAAAACAAAAACGGAAAGCUGAGGAAGACAACUGGAAGAUAAGUUAUGACUAGUGGGAUUUUCUGUUUGUGUUCCUCCUAUAAUUGCACCUUGAAUGAUUUACUCUUCUUAAAUUGGAGACCACAGUCAGCACUAAUAAGAUUUUAUACCGGUUGCCUUUGAAAAUCUAAUAAGCAGCAGG